UGGAAACGAUGGCUAAUACCGCAUGAUGCCUACGGGCCAAAGAGGGGGACCUUCGGGCCUCUCGCGUCAGGAUAUGCCUAGGUGGGAUUAGCUAGUUGGUGAGGUAAGGGCUCACCAAGGCGACGAUCCCUAGCUGGUCUGAGAGGAUGAUCAGCCACACUGGAACUGAGACACGGUCCAGACUCCUACGGGAGGCAGCAGUGGGGAAUAUUGCACAAUGGGCGCAAGCCUGAUGCAGCCAUGCCGCGUGUGUGAAGAAGGCCUUCGGGUUGUAAAGCACUUUCAGUCGUGAGGAAGGUAGUGUAGUUAAUAGCUGCAUUAUUUGAC
rnacentral:rRNA from 1 species